GUUCGCCUCAUGAUGGAAAGAAAGUGCCUCUUCACUGGGCAAUGGAUGUCGUCUUUGGAGGCAGGGAGCACCUCUGAGGUAGUCGGCUCCUUUGGCGUAGGAAAACAUAUUGGAGAAAAACUGAAUACUGAAGAGAAUGUGCCAUUUAACUCAGCAGCAUUUUUGUUGGAUGGGCACUGCUCAUCCUUCUGUCAUCAUCCGAACAUACACAAGCAGCUGGAGCACUACGAGAAGCACAGAGGUGGAAACUGGGAACGAGGGAAGUGGUCUGACAGCUGCCUGCUCUUACCGCUCGUACAGCCGUAGCCCAACGUUUUCCUUCCAGAGGGUGAGCAGUGAAGACAGUACUGGGAGGUGUGUGUGUCCAUCACACGCGCGUCCAUCACUGCCCUCACCAGGACGCGAACUGCUGAACUAAGACAGUGAAGUUGUCACCACAGAAAAAUUUAAGAGAGUUUUUAGAAAGUAGGCACUAGGCUGGUAUUUUAUGUGUAUGAUCUAAAAUAUUUAUUCCAACAAGCCUAAAUUUGAUGUUGCUGCUCUUAUUUUAAGAAGAAAGUGGUUAAGAUUAGAUAACUUGCUAGCACUCAGACAGUUGGUAAAUACCACAGCUGAGAUUUGACCCAACUUAACCUGGAACGGGCUCUAACAUCAGCUCUGCCCAGCCUCUCUGUCCUCUCUCUGAUGGACAGGACAGACCGUCUUCCAGGCAUUGCAAUUGCUCUGUCUCUACUCGUUUCACUUAGAGUAGCUUUU
rnacentral:lncRNA from 1 species